CAUAUAAGUAUAAUCUAUAGAAGGGGCUUAGGAACCUCCAUCCCAUUAUGCCAUCAUUGACUUGAAUUGGGUGGUUCAUUCUAAAGGUUCUAUUUGUAAUGAGUCACACAGCUUGAAUGGGGCGGUUCAUUCUAAAGGUUCUAUUUGUAAUGAGUCACACAGCUUGAAUGGGGCGGGUCAUUCUAAAGGUUCUAUUUGUAAUGAGUCACACAGCUUGAAUGGGGCGGUUCAUUCUAAAGGUUCUAUUUGUAAUGAGUCACACAGCUUGAAUGGGGCGGGUCAUUCUAAAGGUUCUAUUUGUAAUGAGUCACACAGCUUGGCAUAUAGAACACAGCGUGUUAAGUUAUUGUUCUCACUGAACAACCGCACCAACGCUUAAAGUCCAAGGACUACUGUCAUAUGUACAAAAAUCUGGAUUUAUUUUUCUUUAAAAUAGUCUGACAACCAACAUUUAACAUGAGGUUCAGUAUAAACA
ensembl:lncRNA